rnacentral:lncRNA from 1 species
UUUUUAACUCAUUCCAUGCAAAUUUGUUUUCCUUACAGGGAUGAGAACAUGAGAGGUUGAAUUGAGGAAGGCCUAGAUUUCAUCUAAGUUCGUCAAUCGCUCACGCGAGCACUUCAUAGAUGUCUAGCCAGCUUGUUUGGUUUGAAUUUUUUUGCAAGUUUGACUCCUUGGUUGUAUUAUAGAUUGUGGGACAUUAGAGGUCCAUGAGUGUAUAUA